rnacentral:rRNA from 1 species
GGUCAAGCUAGUAAGGGCAUACGGUGGAUGCCUGGGCGCUAAGAGGCGAAGAAGGGCGUGGUAAGCUGCGAAAAGCCUCGGGGAGCCGCAAGCAGGCGUUGAUCCGGGGAUACCCGAAUGGGGCAACCCACCUGGAGUAAUAUCCAGGUACCCUGUACUGAACCCAUAGGUACAGGGGGCGAACCGGGGGAACUGAAACAUCUUAGUACCCCGAGGAAGAGAAAGCAAACGCGAUUCCCCUAGUAGCGGCGAGCGAAGAGGGAAGAGCCCAAACCUUAUGCAUGUAGAAGGCUGCAACCGUUGUGCAUAAGGGGUUGCGGGGCUUCCGGGAGCAGUUGCAGAUGCUCGACGAAAGCGAAGGCUGUAGGAGAACAGGACUGGAACGUCCGGCCAUAGGGGGUAAGAGCCCCGUAUCCGAAACGGCCUAAAGCUUUCGGGAAGGACCCCAAGUACCACGGGACACGAGGAAUCCCGUGGGAAUCCGGGAGGACCACCUUCCAAGGCUAAAUACUCCUUAGCGACCGAUAGCGCACUAGUACCGUGAGGGAAAGGUGAAAAGCACCCCGGGAGGGGAGUGAAAUAGAACCUGAAACCGUAUGCCCACAAGCAGUCAGAGGGCGUUAAAGCCUGAUGGCGUACUUUUUGUAGAACGGGCCGGCGAGUUACGUUAACGAGCGAGGUUAAGGGGAAGACCCGGAGCCGGAGCGAAAGCGAGUCUGAAAAGGGCGUUAGUUCGUUGACGUAGACCCGAAACCGGGUGAUCUACCCAUGGGCAGGGUGAAGCGGGAUUAAACUCUCGUGGAGGCCCGAACCGACCGGCGUUGAAAAGUCGGCGGAUGACCUGUGGGUAGGGGUGAAAUGCCAAUCGAACCCGGAGAUAGCUGGUUCUCCCCGAAAUAGCUUUAGGGCUAGCCUCAAGGAAAGACUAACGGAGGUAGAGCACUGAUAAGGCUAGGGGCCUUACCAGGUUACCGAACCUUUUCAAACUCCGAAUGCCGUUAAGUCAACCUUGGGAGUCAGACUGCGGGUGCAAAGAUCCGUAGUCGAGAGGGAAACAGCCCAGACCAACAGCUAAGGUCCCCAAAGACGGGCUAAGUGGAGAAGGAUGUAGAGUUGCUUAAACAACCAGGAUGUUGGCUUAGAAGCAGCCAUCAUUUAAAGAGUGCGUAAUAGCUCACUGGUCGAGUGACUCUGCGCCGAAAAUGUAGCGGGGCUCAAGCCCGUUACCGAAGCUUUGGAUCCCGCGAGGGAUGGUAGGGGAGCGUUCUGCAGGCAGCGAAGGUGUACCGGAAGGAGCGCUGGAGUCUGCAGAAGUGAGAAUGCCGGCAUAAGUAAGCGAGAAGGCAGGUGAGAAUCCUGCCCGCCGAAAACCUAAGGGUUCCUGGGGAAGGCUCGUCCACCCAGGGUAAGUCGGGACCUAAGCCGAGGCGAAGAGCGUAGGCGAUGGGCAAUCGGUUGAAAUUCCGAUACCACCAAAGAGUCGUUAUUAGGAUGGGGUGACGCAGGAGGGUAGGCACAGCGCACGAUUGGAAGAGUGCGUCCAAGCCUGUAGGGCGUGAGGUAGGCAAAUCCGCCUCACAAAGAGCCUGAGAGGUGACGGGGAGCGAAAUUAAGUAGCGAACUGGCUGAGCCCAAACUGCCGAGAAAAGCCUCUAACGAGACUCUAGGUGCCCGUACCGCAAACCGACACAGGUAGGUGGGGAGAGGAUCCCAAGGCGCGCGAGCGAACCUUCGUUAAGGAACUCGGCAAAAUGACCCCGUAACUUCGGGAGAAGGGGUACCCCGUUAGGGUGACAGUAGAGCAUACUGGAGCCCGAGGGGGUCGCAGAGAAGUGGCCCAAGCGACUGUUUACCAAAAACACAGGUGCCUGCUAAAGCGCAAGCUGAAGUAUAGGUGCUGACGCCUGCCCGGUGCUGGAAGGUUAAGGGGAAGGGUUAGUCGAAAGGCGAAGCUCUGAACCGAAGCCCCAGUAAACGGCGGCCGUAACUAUAACGGUCCUAAGGUAGCGAAAUUCCUUGUCGGGUAAGUUCCGACCCGCACGAAAGGCGUAACGAUUUGGGCACUGUCUCAACGAAGGGCUCGGUGAAAUUGUAGUACCCGUGAAGAUGCGGGUUACCUGCGAUAGGACAGAAAGACCCCGUGGAGCUUUACUGUAGCCUGACAUUGGGUUUUGGUGCUUCAUGUACAGGAUAGGUGGGAGGCAGCGAACCACUGCCGCCAGGUAGUGGGGAGCCGACGGUGGGAUACCACUCUUGAAGCACUGAAAUUCUAACCCGAGUCCGUAAACCGGACUGGGGACCGUGUCAGGUGGGCAGUUUGACUGGGGCGGUCGCCUCCUAAAAGGUAACGGAGGCGUCCAAAGGUUCCCUCAGCGCGGUUAGAAAUCGCGCGUAGAGUGCAAAGGCAGAAGGGAGCUUGACUGCGAGACCGACGGGUCGAGCAGGGACGAAAGUCGGGCUUAGUGAUCCGGUGGUCCCGAGUGGAAGGGCCAUCGCUCAACGGAUAAAAGCUACCCCGGGGAUAACAGGCUUAUCCCGCCCAAGAGUCCACAUCGACGGCGGGGUUUGGCACCUCGAUGUCGGCUCAUCGCAUCCUGGGGCUGAAGUAGGUCCCAAGGGUUGGGCUGUUCGCCCAUUAAAGCGGUACGUGAGCUGGGUUCAGAACGUCGUGAGACAGUUCGGUCCCUAUCCAUCGCAGGCGGAGGAAACUUGAGAGGAGCUGUCCCUAGUACGAGAGGACCGGGAUGGACAGACCGCUGGUGUACCAGCUGUCCCGCCAGGGGCACCGCUGGGUAGCCAAGUCUGGAUGGGAUAAGCGCUGAAAGCAUCUAAGCGCGAAGCCCACCUCAAGAUGAGGUUUCCCAUGGCAAAAGCCAGUAAGACCCCUGGAAGACGACCAGGUAGAUAGGCCAGGAGUGUAAGGGGGGUAACCCCUUGAGCGGACUGGUACUAAUCGGUCGAGGGCUUGACCA